UCCCUGAUGUUAGCGGCGGACGGGUGAGUAACACGUGGGUAACCUGCCUGUAAGACUGGGAUAACUCCGGGAAACCGGGGCUAAUACCGGAUGGUUGUUUGAACCGCAUGGUUCAGACAUAAAAGGUGGCUUCGGCUACCACUUACAGAUGGACCCGCGGCGCAUUAGCUAGUUGGUGAGGUAACGGCUCACCAAGGCGACGAUGCGUAGCCGACCUGAGAGGGUGAUCGGCCACACUGGGACUGAGACACGGCCCAGACUCCUACGGGAGGCAGCAGUAGGGAAUCUUCCGCAAUGGACGAAAGUCUGACGGAGCAACGCCGCGUGAGUGAUGAAGGUUUUCGGAUCGUAAAGCUCUGUUGUUAGGGAAGAACAAGUGCCGUUCAAAUAGGGCGGCACCUUGACGGUACCUAACCAGAAAGCCACGGCUAACUACGUGCCAGCAGCCGCGGUAAUACGUAGGUGGCAAGCGUUGUCCGGAAUUAUUGGGCGUAAAGGGCUCGCAGGCGGUUUCUUAAGUCUGAUGUGAAAGCCCCCGGCUCAACCGGGGAGGGUCAUUGGAAACUGGGGAACUUGAGUGCAGAAGAGGAGAGUGGAAUUCCACGUGUAGCGGUGAAAUGCGUAGAGAUGUGGAGGAACACCAGUGGCGAAGGCGACUCUCUGGUCUGUAACUGACGCUGAGGAGCGAAAGCGUGGGGAGCGAACAGGAUUAGAUACCCUGGUAGUCCACGCCGUAAACGAUGAGUGCUAAGUGUUAGGGGGUUUCCGCCCCUUAGUGCUG
rnacentral:rRNA from 2 species